rnacentral:lncRNA from 1 species
CCUCCCACAGCUGGAAGGCAGUUCUGUCCUAAUUUGUUUGUUCCUUGGUGCACACCUGUGUGUUUGCUGCAGUUAAAAAGUUUGGUUUGCACAGGCCUGGCAUACCAGGAGGUCUGCAAAGCUCUGUGGGACCUCCUGCUGAAUUGCCCUGCCAGCUUUUGUGUCUCCUGCAAACCUUAGAGGCAUUUUUUUAUUCUUUUAUUCUGCCUUCCUGAACAGUGCUGGAAGCACUGGAGGACGUCAGGUAAUGCCUGUCCCCCUGGAGCCCUGCAGAAACCUCUUUGGAUGCUAAUUCCCCCGCUCUACCAUCUGUCCGGUUUUGAUUUCAGCUCUUUGACUUCUUCCCCCCUUUCUCAAUCUCAGAUUGGUGACUGCUUCGCAGCAAUUGUGGAGGAAAUGAGAUGGGGUGAGAAGGUCUGGGUACUGAGAGGGGUUAAUGGGGAAAAUGUUAUUUUUACAGGUGCUGUGCACGGUGUCUGUGUGCAUGUAUACAUAUUACAAUGCAGAGCAUAAAAGCCUGAAGUCUCCUUUAGCACAGCCUGUAAUCCUAUUAGAAGGAUUACUCUGUUGUCCUAGGCUAUCAGAUCGUGUGGCAGUCAGUUCUAGUGCGUGUCUUCCUCGGAACUCCAGGGGAGCCAGGUAUUUAGCAGGGGAGUGCUUAAAUGGGGUGUCCAAACAAAGCAACUGGACACGCAGCAUCGUUACACAGACAGCUCACUUCAUCAGCACCAGAACAACCAAACACUUGUCUUAUUGCUUCUAUCUGACCCCACUCUGCCUUUAAAAGUCAACAAACCAGCAAGCUUCUGUGACACCGCCAGUGCUGCUACUGGUAAGAAAACAGGAUAACCAGGCUGGUUUUCCUCUUCCCCCCCCCCCCCCCCAUAUGAGGAACUCAGAACGCGUUUGUAGUUCUGUAACUCAUGUAACACAACAUGGAAGAGCUGGAAGUAUGGCUCCAAGCAGGGAAGCAACAGUUGAGCUCCUCAGAGUCUGAAUUGUUCUAUGAUUCUAACCCAGUGAGAUGCAUUUCUGAGAGUUGUUCUUCUAGGGACCUUGAAAGCCGUUGGAAAGGGACUACAGGGCUAGAUCCCUUCUGUGCUUGGAGCAGAGGAUGUCUCCAUAGGAUGUAAGGGGUUGAUAACUGCUAAAGCCUUUGAUGCUUAUUGCACACCAACUUUGGGGCUGUAGUUGCAGCAAAUAAGGGUUAAAGCCAUUGGUAAGAUCCCAGGUUCUUUGGUGCUCAGUUCCUUAUGCAGAUGGAGAAAGUUUUGGCAG